rnacentral:lncRNA from 1 species
AAACACUUAACCUAAUAAGUUAAUUUUUAAUUGUAAAAUAGACCAUCUUCAAUUUUUUGAAGAGCCCUCGUGUGGAGGAAUGCGAUCUCAUGGAAACAGUGGCCUAAAGAAAGUUCUCCUAUUGCUUUUUACUUCCCUUUGCUUGAAAAAAGAUAAACAGCAUAGAAACCUCCAAGAGGCUACCGAGUUCUCUUUGAACUUUUUUCUCUGCAGCUGCGCCUGGAACUGCUCCCUGCUGCACUUUACUACCUCUGUUUAUAAGAGCAACAGUCCCUCUCCUGAAAAUUGGACUGAAUUCCAACAAGUCGGCAACUUGCAUGAAGACAAGGGUCACAGGCGGCUGGAGCCUGUCCCAGCAACUCAGGAUGAAAGGCAUGAACCAGCCUGGGACAGGAGGCCAUCCCAUUGCAAGGGCCUCAUUUUGUUCCCCAGGCUGGAGUGCAGUGGUGUGAUCUCAGCUCACUGGAACCUCCGCCUCCUGAUUUCAAGCGAUUCUCUUGCCUCAGCCUCCUGAGUAGCUGGGACUACAGGUGCGCCUGGCUAAUUUUUGUAUUUUUUGGUAGAGACGGGAUUUCACCAUGUUGGCCAGGCUGGUCUCGAACUCCCAACCUCAAGUGACCUACCCACAUUGGCUUCCCAAAGUGCUAGGAUUACAGAUGUACUGCAGUGCCAUGCUGGGUAUCUUAAAGAACAAGGCAUUGUCCUCUGCAGACACCCAGGCUGCAGACUUCAAGGACUGGAAGAAGAGCUUUGCGUCUUCUCUCUUCUCUAUACAGACACAAUCUGUAGCAGCAAAUGUGUUACAGAUGGACAGAAGCUGGG